rnacentral:rRNA from 1 species
GUCCUAGCUGUAAACGAUGAUUACUGGGUGUGGGGGGUCGAACCUCUGUGCCGAAGCUAACGCGAUAAGUAAUCCGCCUGGGGAGUACGUUCGCAAGAAUGAAACUCAAAGGAAUUGACGGGGACCCGCACAAGCGGUGGAGCAUGUGGUUUAAUUCGACGCAACGCGAGGAACCUUACCAGGUCUUGACAUCCAUUUAAUGUUUUGGAGACAAGAUAGUGCCGGCUUGCCGGAAAAAUGAGACAGGUGGUGCAUGGCUGUCGU